CUCCUCUUCAUCUCUGCUUUCUCCUGCAUCCUCCUCUCCAUCUCCACAUCCUGCAUCUCCCUCAAUUUCUACGGCGUACACCUCGGAUGUCCCAAACAAAAAAAGGACAAGGAAAGAAUGCCGAAAACACCGUACACAGAAAAUUUUCAAAUAUGAAGAGAUAGUAGACCGGAGAGUUGUAAAUGAAAAAGAAGAAGUUAAAGUCAAGUGGAAGCCCUGCUUAACAUGGUAUGUAGUAACAACGGGAACAGACAUUCAUAUUGUUGAUAAAUAGUUAUCACCUCAAUUUGAAUUCAUGUAUGCAAGGCAGAAACUUGGCUGGGCCCCGAAUAGAGAAGAGCCUUCUUAAUGCAUUGAUAAAACUAUCAGCAGACAUAGUCUCUAUCAGUUCGAUAUGCACAGCUCUAGUUGACAUGCAUGUGAAUAACACAGCCCAACGUUUGUUCUGGGAACAACCACCUCUUGUACGACGCGUCACAAUUGUCCAUGGCCCAAACACAUCUAGGCCUACAGUGGUAAAGGGUGGUUCAGGGGUGACUCGGUCUGCGGGCAAGUCUGCCAUUUUCUGGAUCUGCAUUUUGCC